UACGGAGGGUGCAAGCGUUAAUCGGAAUUACUGGGCGUAAAGGGUGCGUAGGCGGUUCGUUAAGUCUGUCGUGAAAUCCCCGGGCUCAACCUGGGAAUGGCGUUGGAUACUGGGCAGCUAGAGUGUGUCAGAGGAUGGUGGAAUUCCCGGUGUAGCGGUGAAAUGCGCAGAUAUCAGGAGGAACACCGAUGGCGAAGGCAGGUCUCUGGGCAUUAACUGACGCUGAAGCACGAAAGCGUGGGGAGCAAACAGG
rnacentral:rRNA from 1 species